GGUUUAAUUCGACGCAACGCGCAGAACCUUACCAGCCCUUGACAUGGAGGUCGCGGAUUCCAGAGAUGGAUUCUUUCAGUUCGGCUGGACCUCACACAGGUGCUGCAUGGCUGUCGUCAGCUUCUGUCGUGAGAUGUUGGGUUAAGUCCCGCAACGAGCGCAACCCUCGCCCUUAGUUGCCAGCGGUUAGCCCGGGCACUGUAGGGGAAUUUCCGGUGACAAGCCGGAGGAAGGCGGGGAUGACGUCAAGUCCUCAUGGCCCUUACGGGCUGGGCUACACACGUGCUACAAUGGCGGUGACAAUGGGCGGCGACCUCGCGAGAGUGAGCCAAUCCCCAAAAACUGUCUCAGUUCGGAUUGCACUCUGCAAUUCGAGUGCAUGAAGUUGGAAUCGCUAGUAAUCGUGGAUCAGCAUGCCACGGUGAAUACGUUCCCGGGCCUUGUACACACCGCCCGUCACACCAUGGGAGUUGGUUCUACCCGAAGCCGGUACGCUAACCGCAAGGAGGCAGCCGACCACGGUAGGGUCAGCGACUGGGGUGAAGUCGUA
rnacentral:rRNA from 1 species